UACAGAGGGUGCAAGCGUUGUUCGGAAUUACUGGGCGUAAAGCGCGUGUAGGCGGCUUGGCAAGUCCUGUGUGAAAGCCCUGGGCUCAACCCAGGAAGUGCGCAGGAUACUGCCGAGCUGGAGUAGCGGAGAGGAUGGCGGAAUACCCGGUGUAGAGGUGAAAUUCGUAGAUAUCGGGUGGAACACCUGUGGCGAAGGCGGCCGUCUGGACGUUCACUGACGCUGAGACGCGAAAGCGUGGGGAGCGAACAGG
rnacentral:rRNA from 1 species